UUUCUGUCUGCCGUGGAUUUCUCUCACUCUUGUCUUUCUUGCAAAAAUUCACGAGAAUGGUUUGCAACGUUUGCAAAAUCGUAGGCGUAUCUGCUACCUGGUGUGAGACAUACAUGCGCGAUCUGCAAGGAUUCACCCUUUUAAAGGACACUGCGAGAUGCUUUUGGACAUGAUGAGGGUCAGAACCAAUAGGUGUGACCGGAGUGAGGCGCCCCCGUCAAACGUGAGAACUCCAAGAAUUGUUUGUCUUGAAGAAGGAGGAGCUACAUGUAACCGUGCGGCUGGUGAAACCAACUCAAACUCUUGUGUUUAGCAUUUCAGGUGGCAGAGCUAAUUAUAACUCUCUGUUGUUAGCAGGUGGGCAAUCAAACCAGUUUUGACCCCCAGUAUAUAUAUAUAUGGUCAGUAUAUUUGAUUGUAAGAGCUGAGGCUGCCCGAGUUGUGCCUCUGCACUUAAAGUUAACAUAUUAUACCACCAGGUGCGAGUAUGAUUAGCCGUUACAAGCCGUUUUGAAAAUGUGCCUCUUCUGACAUCACAAGUGGGCGUGUCCACCUAGAUGUAUGACGGAUAGAUGAGCAACGGCUUG
ensembl:lncRNA